UACGGAGGGUGCGAGCGUUGUCCGGAAUCACUGGGCGUAAAGGGUGCGUAGGCGGUCGGGUAAGUCUGAUGUGAAAUCUCACAGCUUAACUGUGAAACUGCAUUGGAUACUAUUCGGCUAGAGAGUUGGAGGGGGGACUGGAAUUCUUGGUGUAGCAGUGAAAUGCGUAGAUAUCAAGAGGAACACCUGAGGUGAAGACGGGUUGCUGGGCUGACACUGACGCUGAGGCGCGAAAGCCAGGGGAGCAAACGGG
rnacentral:rRNA from 1 species